UGGGGAAUAUUGGACAAUGGGCGCAAGCCUGAUCCAGCCAUGCCGCGUGAGUGAUGGAGGCCCUAGGGUUGUAAAGCUCUUUCACCGGUGAAGAUAAUGACGGUAACCGGAGAAGAAGCCCCGGCUAACUUCGUGCCAGCAGCCGCGGUAAUACGAAGGGGGCUAGCGUUGUUCGGAUUUACUGGGCGUAAAGCGCACGUAGGCGGACUUUUAAGUCAGGGGUGAAAUCCCGGGGCUCAACCCCGGAACUGCCUUUGAUACUGGAAGUCUUGAGUAUGGUAGAGGUGAGUGGAAUUCCGAGUGUAGAGGUGAAAUUCGUAGAUAUUCGGAGGAACACCAGUGGCGAAGGCGGCUCACUGGACCAUUACUGACGCUGAGGUGCGAAAGCGUGGGGAGCAAACAGGAUUAGAUACCCUGAUAGUCCACGCCGUAAACGAUGAAUGUUAGCCGUUGGGGAGUUUACUCUUCGGUGGCGCAGCUAACGCAUUAAACAUUCCGCCUGGGGAGUACGGUCGCAAGAUU
rnacentral:rRNA from 1 species